rnacentral:rRNA from 1 species
UAACACGUGAGUAACCUGCCCUUUUCUUUGGGAUAAGCCUGGGAAACUGGGUCUAAUACUGGAUGUUCCGGCUUCCUCGCAUGGGGUUGUUGGGAAAGGUUUUUUCUGGAUUGGGAUGGGCUCGCGGCUUAUCAGCUUGUUGGUGGGGUGAUGGCUUACCAAGGCUUUGACGGGUAGCCGGCCUGAGAGGGUGGUCGGUCACACUGGGACUGAGAUACGGCCCAGACUCC